UACGUAGGUGGCAAGCGUUAUCCGGAUCUAUUGGGCGUAAAGGGAGCGUAGACGGCAGAGCAAGUCUGAAGUGAAAGCCCGCGGCCCAACUGCGGGACUGCUUUGGAAACUGCCCGGCUAGAGUGCUGGAGAGGUAAGCGGAAUUCCUAGUGUAGCGGUGAAAUGCGUAGAUAUUAGGAGGAACACCAGUGGCGAAGGCGGCUUACUGGACAGUAACUGACGUUGAGGCUCGAAAGCGUGGGGAGCAAACAGG
rnacentral:rRNA from 1 species